GGGUGUUUGGGGGCUUUGGCUGGGGGGGACCUGUGUUCCCUCCUGCAGAAGGCCGCUUGCCCUCGGGCCGAGGUGGCCUGCUCCAGGGGGCCGAGGAUGACCGAGCACUUUCAGACCAGCGAGCGCCCUUCCUUCCUGGUCCAAAGAGUCACAAAAUACUCCCGAGGAAGCAUGAGCAAGGCCUGGUGGAGCACAGUUUGCAGAUCCGGUUUCCAGAGCAAUCGAUAGACUAGAUAACCUACCGGCUGGAACUACAGGACAGGGAGCCAGGAGCCCCCCCCACCUCCCCAGGCCUCGGGGGAGGCUGCCGGGGGAGGGGGAAAGCAGCCUCAAGGCGCUGUCCAGGCUCACGGGCGCUGGCGUCACAGCAGCCACACGGCCGAGCCCCGAGUCUGGGCUGUGGGACGUGGGGCAUCGGCCCCAGUCCAGGGGCUGGGAGGCAGACCCCUGUGACGUCUCCAGCCCGUCAGCCGGGCCCUCAGGGGUGUCUGAGCGGUCACCCCAGGCCGCCGGAAGCCGGGCUCCACUCCCCUUGGCAAUGCCAGGGGGUAGAGCUAGACUCCGGGAGAGCUAGGCCCCCGACUUCCACCUGCACCGCGAUGUGAACGGUGGCCCCACGUGAAGCUGGGCGACGUGGGCCCUGCUACGAACAACGGGGAUGCUGGCUAAGAGCAUGGCUGUCUUCCCCUCCCUGACUAUGAGUGAGGCUCGUCCCUGGAGCAUCACCUUCUAAACCUGGGACAGAGGCAUGCAGCAGACACCCACCACAGCCGCAGGAGGGCUCGCGGGGGGCUCCCAUCCGUAAGGCCUGACAGCCCCGUCCCCCUCCUGCCCACUCCCUUCCAUGGCCACAGACAGACCCUGGCCCCAGCGGGGCCAGUCUCCUCCAGGAAACUGGGAUGGGGACACGGGGCAGGUGGCCGUGGGGCCAGGACACCAGGCAGCGCUGGGGAGGGCUUGGUGCUGAGUAAGUCGGGGCCCUGGGCCAGCUGCGUCAGCAGAGGAGGCUGGAGGAGUUGAUGUGCAGGGACAAUCAUGGGGUGGGGGGGAGCCUAGGAGCCACACGGGAUAAGCCCGUCCUCUGUGGGCCCAGGGCCUCCCCCUCCCAUGACCGUGGCCAGCAGAGGACCCUCUCCCUGAGCCAGCCUCUGCGGAUUUCUGCUACGAGGUCCUGAGCAGAAUUAGAGACCCCAGGCGCCUCCUAGGCCCGUGGGCAGCACAGCAGACAGCACACAAGUCACAGGCCCCCCGCCCUGGAGACCCCACGUUCUCCCCAGCUCCCUGAGGCCCUUCUCAGAUGUCUCCCGGGGGCCCCAGGGCCAGGAGGGCUGGGGCUUCCCCGUGGCAGUGCCCUCAGCGAAGCACCGACACUCUUGACGGCCUCGGUCACCCCUCCCACUCCUGCCAGCCUUCCAUGUGCCUGGCACGGGGCCCGAGCACGGAGACGGCUGUGGAUGCUUGGACCCGCUCUGACAGCAGGAGGAAUGGGGUGGAGUUCCAACUGUGUUUCCUCGAUCCCGUGGGCAGCCACGAGUCUCAAGGCCGAGACAUCAGCCACGCAGUUAAUCUCUCCUGCACACCAGCUUGCCUGGACCGGGGCUUGCUCGGACGGACCAGCGGAACCCAGGCUGGGCCACCUUCUUCUCGAAUCUGCAGGCCAAGCCAGUAUUUCUGCCGCCCUGGGUCAUCCCAGGGCCAGGUACCAGGCAACCGGAGACCACCCUGUAGCCCCAAGCCAGCCAGAACUAUUCACUCUGGCCACGCCUGACCGUGUGCCCUGUCCUGCUUGCCUUUCCCGUGGAAACUCCAGUAAAGGCUCUGGCCUGGCCCCCUGUGGCCCCUGUGGGGUGUUACCCCUCCUCAGUCACACCUUUAGCAGCAAAAUCCCAGGUAUAACUUUAAAACAGGCAGGCAUCCCACGGUGCCUCAUGGCCUCGGGGAACCCCACGGCCUACCGGAAGCCCAAUCCACCAAUUACACUGCACCUGUGACAGUUUGCUAGUGGCAUUAAGCCACCGUGCGUCAUUGUCACGCUGAGCACCUUGGCUCAUCUGCCCAUUUGACUCUAAUGACCAGGCUCUGAGGUAGCCCCUGUUAUUGCACCCAUUUUGCAGAAAAGGAAACUGAGACUCAGGGAGGUGUAAGCUUGCCCGCAGCCAAAUGGCGCCUUUGUGAUGCAGGAAAAAAAUGCACAAGGACUGAGGUUGAAAGAGGCGAGCUGACCCCAGGGGUGGACAGGUCCCAGAGGCCUGUGCUUAGAGGUCACGAAACCAGAAGAGCAGGACGCAAGGCAGGAAAGGGAAGCGUCUACUCACCUAAGGCAGGAACCGCGCUGCUGAGCCGCCCGGUGAGAACGAUGUUCACUGCAGGAGAUACAAAGAGGAGUCAGUGGGGGGCGGUGGCUCUGGGGGCCCAGACACCUGCCCUGGGCCAACCGUGGCCCUCGAUGGGCACAGGACAUCGCAGCCCAACUCCAGGCUGGUUCCCUUCAUCCCACGGGGCACGGCCCAGAGCAUCGCCAGAGACUUCCACUCUACCGGGUCCUGCUGGCAGGGGCACAGGGGAGGACCCUCGAGGGUCUCAGGACCCACCACCCUCUCCCAAAGAGAGCCAGGGCACAAGCUUGGCUGCACUGGCCACUCCUGCUGCUCCCCACGCCCGGGAAUUUUACCCCAUGUAGGAGGGGUGUGUUUCCGUCUCCCCCCUCCAGCUCGGGGACUCGUGUGUGGACCACUCUGGUUCGGCCGGGACAAGGGCCCUGCCUUCAGAGGGGCCCCUACCACUUGGAGGAAUCCCUCUGAGGGGCCUUGACAGCCACCUGGUCUACGGGCAGCCAGGGAGGGAGGGAGUAGGUGACUCCCCCAUUCCACAGGGAUGCACAGUUAGCAGGAUUCAAGGUCCACCCCGCAGUGCCACGCUGACCUUGAGAAGAGACGCAAAGAACUCUCCUGCCACCCACCCCAUCGAGUGGCCGCCUCCAUGGGGUUUGUCCUUUGCUUUCACCUAGUGCUUUCCUGCAGGGGUUUACAGGACCAGGAGGAGACUAUGGGCAAACUCGACUUCCUGGGGUUCAGGGUACCCCCGUUCCCUCCAACAUCAAGGAUGCCAAGGGAGGCAGAGAGCAUCCCUGCAGGGUCAGCACCCACCUGCAGCUUCAAGCAAACCUGCUGAGCUGAAAGCAUCUUCCCUAGUGACCCGGUAGGGUGUCCCCUAAUGACCCCAAGCUCCGAUAAUGGCCUCCCUCCUUCAUCGUGGUAAAUAAAGGAGCCAUGUGGCUUGAGGAUUUAA